rnacentral:rRNA from 1 species
UCGAGAAUCUUCGGCAAUGGGCGAAAGCCUGACCGAGCGACGCCGCGUGCGGGAUGAAGGCCUUCGGGUUGUAAACCGCUGUCGGAGGGGAUGAAAUGCCGAUGGGUACUCCCAACGGCUUGACUGAUCCUCGGAGGAAGGGUGGGCUAAGUUCGUGCCAGCAGCCGCGGUAAGACGUACCACCCAAACGUUAUUCGGAAUCACUGGGCUUAAAGAGUCCGUAGGCGGCUCGGUAAGUUGGAUGUGAAAU